UGGAUACUGCUUGCAUGCAUUGAGGAGUGCUAAGCAGAAACACAAUGUUUUGCAAGUGAAUAGCAGAUGGCAAAUGCAGUCAUUCAAAGGGCUCAUAUAGAAUCACCCCAUGCUGCUACAGUUAACUUGGUAUGGUGAACGAAGGAGAAGAAGACAGCCAUUUAUAGAUCAGGAAGUAAAUAAAACACACAGCCAAGCUGAGUCCAGUCUGAUGCAAAGCACAACAAAGGACAGGCAAGAGACAAAAUAUAGCAC